rnacentral:lncRNA from 10 species
CGGAGCACCUAAAACCAAACGCCUCAGUGCAAAUGGAUGGAAGGGCGUCAGCUGUGGAAACUGGAGCUAUUGCGAGCAGCUUGGGUUGCUAGGGAACAGCCCUGAGAACGUUUUGUCUUCAGGCUGCAGAUCCUGGAUCCUCCUGGGAUUUCCAGUUCUAGAGCCACUGCCAGCCAGUGGUGCCAGCAUCAGCAGGCGAUGGGGCUAGGAAAUCUGUGCAGUCCCAGGAGGCUGUGGGCCAGGCAGAGGGGCCCCAGGCUGCCUCUGAGAUUGAGUGUGCAUUAGGGGAUAGGUUUGGGGAGCAGCCCAUGCUGGUGAUUUUCUUUAAACAAAAAUGCUGGUGCCCAGCUUGGUACAGAAAGCCUGGGAGACAGGGGUUUCAACUUCCUGAUAACAGUGCUCCAAUUCGGAGCCCAGAUCUGGUGCUGAUGGAACACUUGCCAAUGGCCCGGUUCAGUGCUGAAUAGGAAGAAGAGCUGGCCAACUUGAGUUAUUACAUCUCUGCCACUCAAGGUGAUGUCAGAACAUGUUCCUUGGACCCAUUCAAGCCUGCUGUGGCACACUGAGAAGAGUUUGUGCCUGGACCAGAGGAAAACACAGAGGAGAGGGACACACAACCCCUUGAUUAUUUGAUUCCUCUCCUUGAAUGGAGGAGACAGAGUUCUCAAAGGACCAGAGGCAGCAGUAUUCCAAAGGGCAGAGCUAAGGUCAAGUACAGAGAAGGAAGGGGACAUUCAAGGCAAGAAGGCAGAGGGUCACAAAUGGAAGAAAGCAGCAACUGGCUGAGAAGUGGGGACUAGGAAGCAAGAGGAAAAAGACUUCAACCUGGAGGCUGGCGAGCCCUGCCAAAGAGCCUGAACCUGUUCUGACUGCUGCCUCUUCCCUGAAGCUAGGCAAGAUUUUCAGGUGUAAAUGCCCAGGGCCUGGUUGCACCCCAGUUUGGCUCUGCUAAAGGUGAAGGCUGGCUCACUUAUGUCUGAGACAUUGGUCUGAGCCCACAUGGCCACAGCAUGAGAAGAGUGGUCCAUGUGGGCUGGGAAGCCCUAUGUGUCCUGGAUCUCUGAAUGUUUUGUAAAACUCUGUUAUUUUUGAUAAAAAUAACAUGUUCAAUGUGUGUUCAUCUGUGUACCUCUAUAAGACUUUUCCUACAAAUGUAUUUAGAACCAUUUUCUAAAAUAGUCUUUGUCAGACUACAUAUGCCUUUUGUUACUGCUGUUUGGGUUUGCCUGAUGGGUGAAGACUUUAACAUUCAUUCAAACCCCAAAAGGAGGAGGCAUAGGCAUCUUGGCACAGGAUCCCAUCCUAUAAAAACCCUAAGAGUUGGGGUAGUUAUUAUUUUCCCCCUUUAACAAAUGAGGAAACAGAAGCUCAGAGCAUUUACAGCUCUCUGUAAGGUCACACAGCUAAUAGGUGGUAGAAAUAGCGUCAAGCCUGGGCCUAGGAGAGCCCAACAAUUAUGUAUUUGCCCUGACAUAAAAUCGCCUCGACGAGAAACCUACAGAGCAUUUCCACAGGCUUCCCCAACCCCUGAGCACAGGAAGUAGAAUUCCUUUAGCUUUUCUUUUUCUUGCUUUCUUGUCUUUGUUCUGCAGCCAUUUUCUUCUCACAAAGUGUGUUUCCCAGCACAAAAAAGCCUGGCUUUCCAGGAGCGGCACCCACUUUCUGAAGAGUUUACUUGCAUUGGGCGUCGGAGUUUAGGAUAACUCCAUUCAAGGCAGAUUUCUCUCCCAGAGAAAGCAACCUGAUGAAUCAGAAGGGAUGUUGUGGCAAAUGCUAUCAGAUGCCCCGCCACCCCGCUUCAGCAGAGGAGGAAGCUUCUGCUCUAGUCCGCACCAUCCUGCAAUCAAUCAGGACAACCUGUGCGAACGCAAAGGCGAGCCUUCAACUCCAUCAUAAAUAUGCACCUUUGGCUUCUGAGUCCUGUAUAUGUCUGACUCCUAGGAUGUGAGUCACCGAUCUGGCAGCAUGACUAGGUGACAUUAUGAUGCUGUGGACAGCAAUGGGCCUGCAACCUGAAGCUCAGGAUCCAGGCCCACCCCUCAUUAGCCUGUGAUCUCAGGAAACCCCUCAACACAUUUUGAGUCUGGCCCUCAUUAAAAAUGGAGGCAAGGAGGCUAUUUUACAUCAGCCCAGGGGUAGGGGUCAGGCAAGAGGCUGGAUGUAGCAACGCGCAAUGUACUGCCAUGGUCUCUAUAAACAUCAGUUAGUUUUAUUGUCAGCAACUUGCUUUAAAUAUACUGGGGCUUGCUUCUGUGAACUAACUCAUUUCAUUUUCUCCUACUAGAUUAUAGGCCCAUAGACUGACUGGGUAAGCCUCGAAUCACUACAUACUAUAGUAAUUACUAAUUACAUGUUUCUGCCUUCUGUGGCUUAUUAGUAAAUUGCAUGUAGAUGGAUCUAAAAGUAAUUGCCCUUCUUUCAUAACUUCAGCAGCCUGCAGAAAUCACAAAGAAUUACCUUAUUUACUUCCUAAGUGAUUCCCAGUGGUCAUUUAUCAAAUAUACAGAAGAAAAAAAUC